ACGCUGCGAGUGCGCCACCAGUCCGCCAUCUUUCUUACCUUUUUGAUGGUUGUUGACUUGUAAAUUUUGUAAUUAGUUUUUGCCGACGUCCGUUUUUUAAGUAAUUUUUGGUAUUUUACAAAUUGUGUUACUUUAGUGGACACGUGGAGACAUGGACGCUGACUGUUGGAAGAAUUCGUCAAUUCAGACUGGCGCAAAGAGCUAUCAGGGCGCGAUGCCAGGAAUUUCAUUGCGAGACAGAAUUCGAAAUGAGGAUAUUCGCCAACGCAAUAAAGUUACCGACAUUGCAAAAAGGAUUAACUCAAGUGGGAAUGGACCGGCUAUAUUUUUCGCAGAGAUGACGAUCAAUGGGGUCGCCUAGUAUUGCUGUGGAGACCUAGCCUGGGUGGCCGAGGUGGCGGGAAACCACGAGCAGAUGGUCGGAUGACACAUAUAGAACGGAGUGGAAACCCACGGAAUGCAGACCAGGAUCAUAUACUUUAGGUAUGAGUUUGUUACUUUUGCUCAUAAUAACAUGGAGUAUGUCACGGCUGCUCCACGGGCUGCAUUGAAGGGCAACAGGAGCGAAAAUGUUAAAAUGGAAAGGAGCUCCCCCUUUCAAUUAGGGAAUCUUAGGAUAUGCUAAGGCAAACAGAAGGAGGCAAGGAACGGGACUGCAUCAAUUGCUGUCUGGAACCAAUCUUGUGGGAUGACUUCUGGACAGGGAAAAACAAUUUCAUCAUCUACCCUAAUACUGACGAAUGUUCUAAAACGUGCUGUAAGGCAGACAUUUCCAAAUGUAACGGAGGAAAGUUUCGAGACAUGUAAUGGUUUCAACAUGCUGCUGAGACCCAACUCAAGAGACGUCAGUUUGUACUGUUUAGUCCAUUCUCUAUUGGGCAUGCUUGUAUAGAGAGGUAUAUAUAUAUAUAUAUUGGAGUACAGACAUGGUGUUUGGUAUGAGUAUUAUAUACAUCCUUUUGAGUCAAAUAGGACCGGUAGCCACUUUGAACUCCGUGUCCGAAAGGGUCAAAGUAUGGAGCUCCCGGUACUCAGAAAAAAAUUCUGGCCUAUUAGUUUUGAACUUUCGAGUCAAGUUUGGUGUCAUUUUUAAACUGUUCGCUUCGUUUUUAAAUUGAAGAAGAUUAAAAAUCACAGUAAUAUUAUAAAGGCAAAAGUUUGUGAGCAUACCGUGUUUGUUACUUCCUCACGCCACGCCCAAGUGCCUUAACAAAUAUUAUUUAUAAAAUUAAGUAUGGAGGAAGUACGAUAUACCCUAAGUUAACACGUCGCUUCUUCUUGAUCGUGGGUAACACUCGGGGCGCAGUAUAAUGAUUAUUAAAAAUCUUUAUGCUGUCCCCUAUGCUGCGAUGGCGAUCGUUGCAGUACUUUCAAUAUUUUUUUUACAUCAAAUAUUAGAAUCAUCAAAGAUUACUAAUAAAAUAGGCUUUUUAGAAAUAUUUUUUAAAAAUCAUGAUUAGUAUAAAAAUACGGAAAUAUGAGGAUUUGUUUGCAUUUCGUGGCUACUAAAAAUUCAUUAUUAAUAAAUAUUGUGCUAUAUUUUGCUAUGGAACCCUAAAAAAGUAGUUACAUAAAAAUGACACUAAAAUUGACUCAAAGCUCAAACUAAUCGGCCAGAAUUUUUUUCUGAGCAGCAGGAGCUCCAUACUUUGACCCCCUCUCCCCCUUCGGACACGGAGUUCAAAGUGGCUACCGGUCUUGUUUGACUCGGGAGGACGUGUAUAAUACCCAUGUAGAUGUAGAUGUAGUGUAGGGACGCCUGGCCGGAUACAGGCGGGCUGUCGAUCGCUGGUGCGUUCAUUCAGCCCAAUUCCCUGGAGUUGGAGCUGCAGGUUACUGUCCCGGCUGCCCUCCCACACUUCUCUCCUCAAAUUUUCUUGUUUUCCUGCAGAACAUAAUACCCAUACUAAACGCCAAUGCUCUACUCAAAAAUUCACUUUUUCCCAAUAGAGAACGGACUGUGUUAGACAGUGCAUGUUGUUACACGGUAAAUUUUUCUAGAAGACCAAAUUUAUAAGUUCCUUAGUUAUUCUAUUUUUAACUAAAUAAGUUCUUGUACUAUAAGCAGUAAUCGGAAUAGGCAGAGUAGAUAUAUUUAUUUUUAAACGAAAUGACUUCCUUGCGAUAGUAUUUUUUCAGUACAGAUGGUAUUUUUUUUACGCACUAGUGCGAGAAGUGGUUCAUUAUACGCCAGGUCGAAACUUCGGA
rnacentral:lncRNA from 1 species